AGCGUAUUUAUUGACUUUAACAGCUUCAAUCUAAAUAUAAAUAAUAUUAUGUGAAUAGUGAAUAUAUUUGUAGAAGGAGUGACACAGAGCCAGUUAUGGACUUUCUUUAUUUUUAAUACUCAAGUUAUUUAAAAACGACAACAAAAAGCAAACUUAGUAAGGAGUAAUGGCAUAUGGCAUCAACAAUGGUAUAAACAGGAAAUUAGAGUUAUUUGUUGCUUGGCCUUAGUUAAAUCACUUAUUUCGAGUAACAACUUUAAGAUUUAGAGUUGACUUGAAAUAGAAAAGAAAGGAAAGACUCUAUUUUUGUGUAUUUGGAUUAAUUUACUUAUAAUUAUAUUUAUUAUUU